UGUUGUCACAGGUUCUCCUCCAGCAAACCUGUGGCCUUCUCAUGCAUACUGUAUUCCACGUACUCUCGUACAUACUGUAUCCCACAAAGAUAAUCCUGGUGGUCCAGCAGAAUUAGAGGAAAGCAUUCAGGGAGGGGAGCUUUUCUGUACCGUUACUCUGAACUCGGAAGGCCUUUGAGAGGCAAUGAAUGUGGGAGGUGACCUUCAAACCACGACUGAUUUUGGAUCUUCAGCCACCUUCGUUUUCAGCAGAAUACACGCUCCCAGAUACGUCGCAAGCCUCCGAAAAUAUGCGCUUGGCUUGAAAUCUGAACGUGAGCUGCAUGUAUUUGAUCUUACUGAGAAACUCAGGUUCACUAACGGGAGCUAUUUUCAGUGA
rnacentral:lncRNA from 1 species